AUGUAUGCUAGGAGAAACUCUGCCACUGGCUUCUCCGCAUCGUUAGAAGUUCUCAUGCCUGACAAUCUUGCCCUUAACAUCUGGAAAAACCGGCCCGUGUCCUUGCCUAAUCAAACAAUUUCUCCCUCACUCCAGAUGCAGCUAGUGACCUUCUGGGAAUGUCUUGACCUCAAGAACAGCAACUGGUUGCACUUAUCUACAGUGAGUGACUGUUUUGGAGCCAGGAAGAAGCCACCAUGAGCAGAAGUGUCUGGAUUCCAGCUCUUUAAACGUAUUCUCCUCUUAGUAUGCUCUUCACUGUCAGCUGGAUUGCAGACAAUUUUAACUUAGCCGGGGGGCCCAGACCAAUAUAAUUGCCCACUCCUUCUCUUGAAGAAUUGGACUGAAUUGUUGAUUUCCACUAAGAAUUCUUUUUUUUUUUUUCAGUGGGAUUUGGAGUAGGAAGAAAUAGUCAAUAACAUUUCAUUUUUCCUGGGCUGCAGGAGUACAAAUGGUGUAAAGGAAAAGAGUAAAUCUCUAGGGAAAUGGGCAGAUGACACAUUUCUUUUGAAAGCCCUCCCACUUGAGCAUGUCUGGGUAUUGAAGAUUUGCAGGAUCGAGGUAAGAUGUCACUUGAGGCCUAAGAUCAGAAGCUCAUUUCUAGUUUCAUCUCGAACAGCUACUCACUAUGGGUCUCGGUGGAAGUUGUAAAUUUUUUUUUAAUCUCUUUCCCCACCUGUAAAAAGCUAACAUUUUUGCUUGUAAUCCACCAAUAUCAGAGGAGGAUUUUGUGUUUUAGAAUUUUAUAAAACCACUGGCAAGUCCUCUAUCCUUAUUCAGUAUUACAUAGUUGUUUUUAAGUUGGUAGUAUCUGCCUUUUCGGGGUGAGAAUGGAACAUUUUCCCAGACUCAGAUACUGGCCAAGGUUAAUGAAUAUUCAUUUUAAUGUUUUCAUUUCAUUCAAAUACUAAUUUUAGGAGCUCCACGAACAAUUUUCGUACAUGGUAAGGAAACAGGAAAAUGUUAGUAAGUGGAACAUCUUUAGAUGGGCAUGAAAUUAAAGAGGGAAAUGGAGAGAAAAUGGGAAGGAGCUCGAGCCUGGAAGUCAGAGGACCUGGGUUCUAAUCCCAGGUCCUACACUUGCCUAAGUGGCCUUGGGCAAGUCACCUUCUCUGUGCCUCAGUUUCCUCAACUGUAAAAAGGAGGGGGGGUGUGCAUUCAAUACUUAUUCUCUCUUGUACUUAGACUUUGAGCCCCAUGUGGGAUGGGGAUUGUGUCCAACCUUAUUAACUUGUGCUUAUCCCAGUGCUGAGAAUAGUGCAAGACAAAAGUAAGUGGUUAACAAAUAUUAUUAUUGUUAGGAAUAAAUUUUAGGCAGCAAAUUUAAACAUUUUGUCAUGGUAUAAUAUAGACAAUUGUUUCAAAUUAUAAAGCUAUUACUGCUUAGCUCUAAAUUCUGGACAAUCUUGGAACUUUGUUCUGUUUCCCAGGUGAAUCCACUGCAAGACCAUAUGAGUAGAAAAUUGCCUAUGUUCUAUAGCCUAUCAUAUCCAGGCUCUGCCACUAGCCUGCUGUGUGCCCUUGGGCAGGUCACUUCACUUUUCUGUGCCUCAGUUAAGUCAUCUAUAAAAUGGGGAUUAAGACUGUGAGCCCCAUGUGGGACAGAGACCGUAUCCAACUCAAUUAUCUACCCCAGGGCUUAGUACAGUGUUUGGCACAUAGUAAGAACUUAACAAAUUCCACAGUGAUUAUUAUUGGCCCUAACAACUGUUAGGUACUUGGUCCUAACACCAAAAUAGAAUUAGAGGAGAUCCUCCUUGCCUUCAAGUUUACCAUCUGACCACUGACUGAGCAUGGAUUCUAGAUAAAUAAACAUAAAUCACCAAAGACCCAUUAAUCCAUGACGUAGAUGUCUUGGAGUAUAUGCCCCAAAUAGUCACAGAGCCAGUUUUCCACGGCCUUCUAAUUUCACCCUGUUAAUAUCUGGAAGGCAGAAGUGUCUCUGUUUAUUGUUACACUAUUCUCUCACAGGUGCUUAGUACAGUGCUCUGCACACAGUAAGCGCUCAAUAAAUACCAUUGAACGAAUGAAUGAAAUUUUCUUCCCAGGUUACAAGGAAAUUCUAAAAUUCUAAAUGUAAUGAAAAGCUUUUGUUAGCUUUGCUAAAAUUAGGUGAAUCUGAUCACCCAUAAAUCCCUAAAAUCGUAGAAAAAUGCUAAUUUUGUAUGUGGCCUCUCUUUAGUGGACGCCAACUAUUAGUCCACGUUCAUCCCCAAAUUUAAAUUUACUCUAGUGUAAUGGGAGCCACAGGAAGUCAUGGAGCACCUUUGGGAAAUUAGGUUCUAAUCCCAGCUCCACCACUUGCCUGCUGGGUGACUUUGGGCAAGUCGUUUGACUUCUCUGUGC
rnacentral:lncRNA from 1 species